UUUUUCUUCUUGAUUUCCUCUUUCGUCUCCAGUUCUGCAACAAAUCUAAGCAGUUGUCCCUGCAGUUAGUUCCCAGAAGUUGAGCAGAGAGGAGAGUUCCAUCCAGAUUUGGUUUACUCUUAUCCUGAGAGAUCCUGAGGGGCUCCAGCCUAAUGUAGGAUUGAUCUCCCUCAGAGUUUCUCACCUGGCUGGUCUCUGGGCCUCCACUUCAGCCUCUGUGGCCUUUGCAUAGCCCUGGCACCCAAGCUCAGGGGUUUGUAGUAUACUUAGAUGCCUUCAGGACAAAGCAACUGUAGUAAUAAAAUAUAUUUUGGUUACAGAAAAUCCAACAUUUCCCAUUGUCUAUCUUUUCAGAGCUUGAAUGCUUUUAAGGACACACACACACACACACACACACGAUGUGUGUGUGUGUAUUUAACAGAGAGGCUCUUUGUUAGGUUGUCUUGUGUUGGUUGCAGCUUGUGUAAGAGAAUGCUACUGAUUUUGAAAAAUGUUUUAUAUUUCAACAGGUUUCUGAAUACAUACCGGAAAUUGCAAUUUCUAAAUUUAUGUGUAUGUCUUUCAUAGUCAAACAGUCACAUUUUCUGAUGCUAUUUUUGACUCUUUCUUUAAAUUACAUACUUCCACAACCACUGCUAUGAUUUACUUUCAUAAUCACUGUUUAUUUGCAUGUUCUCCUCUGGGCCCUGUCUUGUUGCCGAGAGAUUUGCAAAUGUGUUAUUUCUCUCCAAAAUGUGCACUGAGCUGCAUCAGACAGUGCAACGGCAGAAUGAUGAUAUCACAGGCCAAGCUCCUCAAGUUUUUGCUGCUCUGCAUUUCAGGUGCCUGUGGGGACAUCAUGAUGAUCCAGGUUUCCCAGUUCUUGGCUGUUUCUGAAAGAGAGAGAUUCACCAUCAACUGUUGAGUCCAGCCAGAGCAUUAGCAACUGCUUAGCCUGCUACCAGAAGAAACCAGGACAGAAUCCUAAGCUGCUUAGCUCCUCAGCAUCCACCCUGGCAACUGGGGUCCCUGACUGACUCAGUGGCAGUGGAUCUGCAACUGAUUUCACUCUCACCACCAGCAGCCUGUAGGCUGAAGAUGUAGCCAAGUUUUACUGUCAGCAUUGUUAUAGCUUUCCUCUCACAGUGCUUCAGCCUUGGACACAAACUUCCUCAGGUCUGCUUGUUAGCUUGUCAGCCAGUAUCUAAAGCACCAGCUGCUUCCUCCCCUUGCAGCCCUGGACUUGUGCACUUUCUCUGUCUGCCAGAGAAGCUGUGUGUCCUGACUCACUUAUGGGAUGGUUUGCAGGGCUCAGGAGGUAACUGAGUCUCUUUGACACCCUGUUGUGGAAGGUCCCUACUGGAAAAUGCCGUUAAGACCUCGGUGUUAGUUUUCUAUAGCUGCUGUAACAAAUUACCAUAAACUUAGUGGCUUAAACGUUAGAAACAUAUCAGUUCACAGUUCUGGUGGUCAAAAGACCAAAAAGGGUCUCACUGGACUAAGCCAUUGGCAAGGCUGCUUUCUCUUCUAGAAGCUCUAGGAGAGAAUCUGUUUUCUCGCCUUUUCCUGUUCCUAGAGGCCUCUCAAAUUCCUUAACGAGUGGCCCCCUUCCUCCAUGUUUAAAGCCAACAACAUUGCAUCUUUCUGACCCUCCAUCUAUAGUCCUGUCUUUCCCUGAUCUCAGCCAGAAGAGAUUCUCUGCUUUUAAGGAUUUAUAUAAUUAGAUUGGGUCCACCCAGAUAAUCCAGGAGAAUCUCCUCAUCUCAAAAUCUUUACCCUUAAUCACAUCUUCAAAGUUCCUUUUGCCACCCUAUGAGGUAAUAUACUACCAGGUUCUAGAGUUUAGGAACUGGACAGCCUUGGGGGCCAUUAUCUUGUCUUCCUACAGCCUCUUUUGGACUCUUCUCUUAUGUCGUCAGGAACUUUGUCAGCAUAUUUUAUUCAGUUAGAAGCACAGGGCUGAACCCAGUCAGGCUCCAGCUCAACUCACUGGUUUAUAAGAUCCAAUGAGACUUAUGCCCUGAUGAAUCAUUAUACCCUGAUGAAUCACUUCCCAGUGACUUCUUGCCUCAAAAUUUCCCUAUUUAAUUCCUUCUCAGGCUCCUUUCUUUCCUCUUUUCCUUGCUAUUAUAGAAAUCUUGGAGCUUCAGCUUCAAAACGUCCACCACUGACCCAGAUCUGCCUCUCGUCGUCCCUCCCUUUCGACCCUUUUUUGCCAUGCCGGCCUUUUGCUUAAUGACUUCUGAUUGUGCUUUUUGUAGUCCUACCUCAGUUUCUUUGCUUAGUACUGCUUUUAGCUUGAAAGCAAAAGAACGUGAAAAAAAAGGAAAAUGAUUCCAUGAGUCAUAUUUGUUCUUUUAAAAACAAUUCUCUAAUUCUGUAAUCCUAUGUAUCAUUGGGUACAGAUUGCCCCAUGAUCUUAAUUCUUCAGGUAUCAUAUUUUUUCUCUCAGCUCUGAUGUUUCAUGUCCAAGUGACCUUGAGUAAGUUACUUAACUCCUCAGUGACAAGAUUUUCUUACACGUAAAAUGGAUAUAAUAAUUGUAUCUCUUUUUUUUUAAUGAUUUUCUUUUUUUCCUUUUUCUCCCCAAAGCCCCCCAGUACAUAGUUGUAUAUUCUUUGCUGUGGGUUCUUCUAGUUGUGGCAUAUGGGACGCUGCCCCAGCGUGGUUCGAUGAGCAGUGCCAUGUCCGCGCCCAGGAUUCAAACCAACGAAACACUGGGCUACCCGCAGCGGAGCGCGCGAACUCAACCGCUCGGCCACGGGGCCAGCCCAAUUGUCUCUCUUUUUAAUGAAUGCCUGGUACAUAGAAAACACUUGGGCACCAUCAUCAUUGUCAUCUUUCACGAGUGGCUCUUUCUUCCAUGUUUAUUACCAUCUUCAAUUUUUAUCACACUAAGAAAUAUACUCUCAAACCUCAUGAAUCUUCCAGCUACCGAUUUAACUCGGAAGCUGGAAGUUUAACAUUUGUUGCUUCCAUUUCUUUGUCUGCUCUUCUCUUGAAUACUUUGCACAGUCUUGACUUUCAACCCACCUCACAUUGAAAGUCAGCCAUGAAUCUUGAAUAAUUUUCAGAUUUAAUAGGCAUUUUUUAGUCAUUAG
ensembl:lncRNA